UGAGGAAUAUUGCGCAAUGAGCGAAAGCUUGACGCAGCGACGCCGCGUGGAGGAUGAAGGUUUUCGGAUUGUAAACUCCUGUUAAGUGGGAAGAAAGUCAUAUUUCUAAUAAAGAUAUGGAAUGACGGUACCGCUAAAGAAAGCACCGGCUAACUUCGUGCCAGCAGCCGCGGUAAUACGAGGGGUGCUAGCGUUAUUCGGAAUUAUUGGGCGUAAAGGGUAUGUAGGCGGUUUAUUAAGUCUGUUGUUAAAUUUCUCAGCCUAACUGAGAUUCGGCGAUAGAAACUGAUUUACUAGAGUGUGGGAGAGAGAGGUGGAAUUCUCGGAGUAGCGGUAAAAUGCGUAGAUCUCGAGAGGAACACCGAUGGCGAAGGCAGCCUCUUGGCCCACUACUGACGCUGAGGUACGAAAGCGUGGGGAGCAAACAGG
rnacentral:rRNA from 1 species